CUGAUCCUCUUUUAGAGGUGACGAUAAUGGAAUGAGCGGCGGACGGGUGAGUAACACGUAGGCAACCUGCCUGUAAGACUGGGAUAACUCGUGGAAACGCGAGCUAAUACCGGAUAACACUUUUCAUCUCCUGAUGAGAAGUUGAAAGGCGGCUUUUGCUGUCACUUACAGAUGGGCCUGCGGCGCAUUAGCUAGUUGGUAAGGUAAUGGCUUACCAAGGCGACGAUGCGUAGCCGACCUGAGAGGGUGAUCGGCCACACUGGGACUGAGACACGGCCCAGACUCCUACGGGAGGCAGCAGUAGGGAAUCUUCCGCAAUGGACGAAAGUCUGACGGAGCAACGCCGCGUGAGUGAUGAAGGUUUUCGGAUCGUAAAACUCUGUUGUUAGGGAAGAACAAGUGCCAUAGUAACUGAUGGCACCUUGACGGUACCUAACCAGAAAGCCACGGCUAACUACGUGCCAGCAGCCGCGGUAAUACGUAGGUGGCAAGCGUUGUCCGGAAUUAUUGGGCGUAAAGCGCUCGCAGGCGGUUCUUUAAGUCUGAUGUGAAAUCUUACGGCUCAACCGUAAACGUGCAUUGGAAACUGGGGAACUUGAGUGCAGAAGAGGAGAGUGGAAUUCCACGUGUAGCGGUGAAAUGCGUAGAGAUGUGGAGGAACACCAGUGGCGAAGGCGACUCUCUGGUCUGUAACUGACGCUGAGGAGCGAAAGCGUGGGGAGCGAACAGGAUUAGAUACCCUGGUAGUCCACGCCGUAAACGAUGAGUGCUAGGUGUUAGGGGGUUUCCGCCCCUUAGUGCUGAAGUUAACGCAUUAAGC
rnacentral:rRNA from 1 species